rnacentral:misc_RNA from 1 species
AAGUCGUAACAAGGUUUCCGUAGGUGAACCUGCGGAAGGAUCAUUACAGAGAAUAUCGCCCUCGCGGGUGACUCUCCAACCCAAUGUUAUUCUACCUUUGUUGCUUUGGCGAGCCGCCUUGGCCACCGGCUCACGCUGGUGAGCGCUUGCCAGAGGACCCAAAACUCUGAAUUAAAGUAUUGUCUGAGUACUAUAUAAUAGUUAAAACUUUCAACAACGGAUCUCUUGGUUCUG